GGAAGAAAAAAAGCCAAAGGAGAUAACACUUAGGUGAUGUAAUAGAGCAUAUAGAAUUUAUUCAAUUACAAGGCAAUUCCACUUAAGCCUGCGGAGGAGAACAUAGUUCAAUUGUUUUCAAAUCACCACAAAGUAAAUUUUAAUAUUAAAGGUUGAAUCUCUUUGCUUUGCACCUUAAUGUAUGCAAAUCAGUCUAAUUUCUAUAUUAAUUUGCUCUAAAGGUAAAACUAAACUGAGUCUCAGUAGGAGGAUAUUUGUAUUUCGUAAUGGAGAGAAUGAAGAGUCACAAUAAAUGGGAAUUAAAAUGUAAGUUCAAAGUAAGUUACAGAAUCUCCUUUCAAAAGGUCACAUUUCUGGCAGGUCAGUGGAAGAAUUAGUUGUUUGCUAUUACUGAUAAAAAUAUAUAGACAUAUAUAUGUCUAUUCUAUAACUACUAUCCAGUGGUUAUUCAUCAUUACUGGAAUUUUUU
rnacentral:lncRNA from 1 species